UACGUAGGGUGCAAGCGUUAAUCGGAAUUACUGGGCGUAAAGCGUGCGCAGGCGGCUAUGCAAGACAGAUGUGAAAUCCCCGGGCUCAACCUGGGAACUGCAUUUGUGACUGCAUGGCUAGAGUACGGUAGAGGGGGAUGGAAUUCCGCGUGUAGCAGUGAAAUGCGUAGAUAUGCGGAGGACACCGAUGGCGAAGGCAAUCCCCUGGACCUGUACUGACGCUCAUGCACGA
rnacentral:rRNA from 1 species